GAAAGAAUGAGAUAAGAUGGCUCAUAUACGCUCUAAUAAAAACCCUAAAAUAGGCUAAAAGUGGGUCUUGUAUGAAUUCAUUGCACAUGUGUAAAAACUGCCACAUCAAUUGAAUUUAGUAAAAUUGCAUGGCUAUACAAGUGCUUGUGCAUGAUCUUAUGCAAAAUCAGGUCUGAGAAUGAUCGGUGAAGAUGGACUUGCAUGGCCAUGCAAAAGGCUGUACAACUUUCAGCAACUCUGGAUAAUUUUUCAACUUUCUGCAUAAGUAGUUGCCCAGACUGUACAAGAGGUUGUUCAACUUUUGGUAGAAAUUAGCAACUUCUCUAUUUUCCUGGACAAGUUACACAAGCUGUGCAGGUCCUUGUGC
rnacentral:misc_RNA from 1 species